UACGGGGGGGGCAAGCGUUGUUCGGAAUUACUGGGCGUAAAGGGCUCGUAGGUGGCCAACUAAGUCAGACGUGAAAUCCCCAGGCUCAACUUGGGAACUGCGUCUGAUACUGGAUGGCUUGAAUUCGGGAGAGGGAUGCAGAAUUCCAGGUGUAGCGGUGAAAUGCGCAGAUAUCAGGAGGAACACCAAUGGCGAAGGCAGCUCGCUGGAACGGUACUGACGCUGAGGCGCGAAAGCGUGGGGAGCAAACAGG
rnacentral:rRNA from 1 species